rnacentral:rRNA from 1 species
UUGGAGGGCAAGUCUGGUGCCAGCAGCCGCGGUAAUUCCAGCUCCAAUAGCGUAUAUUAAAGUUGUUGCAGUUAAAAAGCUCGUAGUUGAACUUCGGGGUCUACCCAUUGGUCAGGCUUAAUUGUCUGUACUGGUGAGAUGGAUCUCUACCUUCUGAGGAACUUUCAUGUCAUUUAUUUGGUGUGAUGGGAAAUCAGGACUGUUACUUUGAAAAAAUUAGAGUGUUUAAAGCAGACUAUCGUCUGAAUACCUUAGCAUGGAAUAAUGAAAUAGGACGGACUGAUUCUAUUUCGUUGGUUUCUAGGAUCACCGUAAUGAUUAAUAGGGAUAGUUGGGGGCAUUAGUAUUCAAUUGUCGGAGGUGAAAUUCUUGGAUUUAUUGAAGACUAACUACUGCGAAGCAUUUGCCAAGGAUGUUUUCAUUAAUCAAGAACGAAAGUUAGGGGAUCGAAGACGAUCAGAUGCCGUCGUAGUCUUAACCAUAAACUAUGCCGACUAGGGAUCGGACGAAGUUAAUUUUAUAAUGACGCGUUCGGCGCCUUACGGGAAAC